CCCCCCCCCCCCCCCCCCAAUGUUAUUUUAUCCCUAGGAUCUCCAUACAUCACCUUUCCCCGAAGAUCCUAAGGAUCUUCAUGUUACAUUUUCCUAGGGAUCCAUGAAAAGGAUUUCCCUUUUAUGUCACCUUUCCUCAAAGAUCCUAACAAGGGAUCUCGAAAUGUCACUUUUUUUCCGAGGGAUCCUCAAUGUAGCUUUUUUUUAGGGAAUCUACACAAAGGGUCCUUCAAGAGCACCGUAUUUUCCAUGGGAUUUCCUAACGCCACAUUUUUCCUGAGGAUCCCAAAGGACCCUCAACAGCACUUUUUCUUAAGAAUCUGUGAAAAGAUCUUCCAAAUAUCGUCUUUUUCUUGGGAUCCAUGAAAGAGACCCCUCUACAACACCCUUUCUCAAGGAUCCUCCUAAUGUUACAUUUUCUUGGGAUUUAAGAUUCACCUAACAUCACCAUUUUAUAGGGAUCCCUUCUAUGCCACCUUUCCUUGAGGGUCCACGUAAAAGAUCCUUCCAACGCAGCCAUUUUUAGGGAAACCUCGCAAGAGAUCCUCUCUAACGUCACCUAUCUCUUGAAGGAAGUAAGGGCACUAAUAAAGGAAAUUUGGGGGCUAUUGUUGGUGGAUAAAUUUGGUUAGGACAAUUUAAAAGUGCCAUGUGGACUAACAGACAGAAAAUAAAAGGACAACACUUGUUCUCAAAUAGAAUAUUAUUUUUUGCCUCAUUCUUCACUAAAGAAGACUAGUAGGUAUUGUUAAUGGUUAAAUUUAGGCUAAUGAUGGAAGAAUACAUGUCAAUGAUGAAAAAGAUAUCUAAAGGAAGCAUCAAGUAGGUAGAAUCCUUGGGCUGCAAAAAGGUCUUCGAGAUCCACAAAUGAUCCUUAGAAAGAAACUCAAUCUGAGGACUGAAAAUAAGUUAUAAAGGGAAUAAAACAAAACGAGGAACAUCGAAGUAUGCCUAGGAUACUCUUUUUGGUUCAGAAGUUGCUUCCUAGUUUACUAAGGUCAACUUCUUUUAAUCAACUACUAAGACACUAAAGGACAUGAUAAAGUCCUUAAUAAGGAUCAUCCAAGUUAAAGUAACCUUAAGAAUCAUUAAUAUGCGAUCACUAACUGAGAAGGAGGGAAUACAGACCUUAUCUUGUGGUUUAAGCUUAUCCCAACACUCUCCAGUUGUUAUUGUACGAAAUAAUAGUCCGUAGGGGAUAAAUAGGCGUGUUGCCAUCAAAAAAAUCACAAGGUGCCUGACUCUCCUCCUAAAUGUCAAGAUAGACCAGAACGUGCCAUCUAGAUAGGAAGUACAUAAUUAUUAUGCAAAAAAAAAAGAUACUUUAAUGAAAAAUUGCCACAUGUCAUACAAGAAAAUUUCAAAGGGCUUUGAAUAUUUAAACUUUAAUUAAAAUUACACAAAUGCCCCUACAUAAGGAGGGCCACCACCAAUCAGGUUCUAUCAUUGAGAGACGUAAGGGUGCCCUCAGUAGCGCUAUUAUACAAACUAAGCUUAAACCUAACUAAAAGGUCUGGCAAACUUCUUCCCUUUUAAAUCUCUCUCUAUCUAGUUUAUAUUCUUCAUUCUCUAAAAAAUAAAGGUCAUUUACCUCUCUCACUUUUCCAAAAGCUCAUUAUCUAUUUCAAACUUAGAGCUAUUGCGACUUUAUAUUAUACACCAUAUGGAUCCCCAUCUCUAUUAUUCAUCUCUCCACAAAGAGAUUGUCUUCCUCACCUUGCAUUUGAAUCUUCAUCUUUUUAAGAGGCAACCACUACUCAUCAGCUUCUCCAUGGCAAAUAUAAUCAAACUAGCCACAUAUUAUCCUCCACACGUAAGAACUCCUCAUAAGUAUCAAGGAGAACGAAUCAAAAGUUUCUCUCAAGGAACCAAAGAAGAAGAAUAAGCACUAGAAACAUUUUUUAUGUUCUUUAUCGCUUUUCAUGUAAUGGACCCAUGUAAUAAUAUAUUUUACGCAUUGGAUGUGUAGUUGAGACGCUCCCCAUAGACAUAGGCCAUAGGCCGAACCAAGUAAAUCUUAUGUGUUCUUUAUAUUUACCCUUUGUGUAUGUUUUGUGCUCCUUCAAAAGUAUCCUUAGAGCUUCCUGAGGCUGCUGCGAGCUCCAUGAGGACUCCGUGAGCCUAUUAAAAGAUCCUUGGUCUCCCUGAGCCCCUCAAAGUCUUUCAAGCUUCCUUACCACACUUAACCUAUUCGGGGACUUAACCUAUUCGGGGCACCCUGACACCAUCCUUGAAUCAAACAAAUCUCUAUUGUCUUUCAGCCCGCACCACUAGGAAGAGCGAAUAAUUGGUCGAAACAAUAUUGUUUAUUAUUUAUAGAUUUAUGGACUCAAGAUUGUUGUUGUAGUACUAGUAUAUUACUAUUAUAUUGUUUUUCACUGAAUAAACAAAGUAAAAUUGCUUGAACUAAAUCAAUCUAAACUAUAAAACAAACCAAAUAAAACUGAAUUAAUUUGGUUUGUUCCGUUUGAUUUUAGUAUUUGGUUUGUAUUUUGUUCAAAAAAUUAUGAAAACAACAAGGAAUAAGAUAAGUAGAAGACAGUGAUUUCAGUUGACAAUAUCUCCCAUUUUUGAAAAAAAAAAGUCUUUUAUAUCACAAAUGAGUGAAUAAAUGCAAUUUUAUUAAUAAACAAUUUUAUUAAAAGUGGGACAAGGAAAAAUUUAUGGGUUCAAAUUGCCUCACUUUUAAGUAACUUUCAUAUCGAAAAUAGUCACAAAUAUGAAAAAAAAAAUUAUGAGAAUAACUUAAUUACAAAACAUCCUUGAAUCAAACAAAUCUCUAUUGUCUUUCAGCCCGCACCACUAGGAAGAGCGAAUAAUUGGUCGAAACAAUAUUGUUUAUUAUUUAUAGAUUUAUGGACUCAAGAUUGUUGUUGUAGUACUAGUAUAUUACUAUUAUAUUGUUUUUCACUGAAUAAACAAAGUAAAAUUGCUUGAACUAAAUCAAUCUAAACUAUAAAACGAACCAAAUUAAACUGAAUUAAUUUGGUUUGUUCCGUUUGAUUUUAGUGUUUGGUUUGUAUUUUUUUCAUAAAAUUAUGAAAACAACAAUAAAUAAAAUAAAUAGAAGAUAUAGUGAUUUCAACUAACAAUUUCUCCCAUUUGUGAAAAAAAAAAGAAAAUCAUUUGUAUAACAUGUCAGUGAAUAAGUGCAAUUUUAGUAAUAAAGAAUUUUAUUAAAAGUGGGACAAGGAAAAUUUUAUGGGUUCAAAUUGCCUCACUUUUAAGUAACUUUCAUAUAAAAAAUAAUCACAAAUAGAAAAAAAAAGUAUGAGAAUAACUUAAUUACAAAAAAAAAAUUGUGGGAUAGACCCCGUCUUUCAAUCUAAGUGAUAGAACUAUUGCGGGCGGCUCAAAUUUGGCACCAAUGGAGGUUAAAUUAGCAUGCAUGGUUUGCUCAGUAAAAGUCCGCCCAAAGGCGGGAUGCAGUAGCGUGGUGCGUUCAGCAGUGGGCCGCCUCGUACAAUUAGUGAACCGUGGUGUGCUUAGCAAAUGGAUAGUCCAAAUUAAAGCAAUCUCAACCCGAUUCUAGAAAUCUCUACAACUCACUAGCACACGUAAAUAUCUAGAUAAUUCUAUACGUAUGUAUUCUUGAACCUAGUGGAUAUUUAGGCAACUUGUGCGGAAAACUAUAGACCUAAGCAAGCCCCUCUAUAAAUAAGGGAAGGCACCCGGCACUUUGCUCAACACCACACCAUCCACCUAGUGACUCAUGCAUACUUUGUAAAGCUUUCUUGUAUUCUUUUUUGCGAAUAAUAGAAUUCUCUUUGACUAUUUUACUCUCUCUUCUCUUUAAUUUUCUUGCAAGUAUCUUUACUUGGCUAAUUUGGGAAGUUUGAUAGGCUUACUUAACAAUUUUUGUACUAAAGUUGUCUAAAUAUUGCACGGGCUGCUUAGUAAUAAACUCAUGCCGUGACACAAUACUCUUCUAACAAGAAGUGUAUAAUUGGCAGAGCUAGCUAAUUUUGACACAACAAGACGAUCUAAUACGAACAUGACAUUAAUAAAUAAAUGAGUUUGGAGUCAUCAAAUUUAACAUGAUUAUUAAAUGAGCUUAGUUCAAGCCUAUAUAAUUUUUUUUCAUAUUGAGUUAGGGUUCAAGUUUUUAACUCAUUUACAUGAUUAAUGAUAUGAUUAUUAAAUACAUAAUUGAUAGGAAAAAUGACUCAUUAAGAUAUGACCCUUUUGGCAUCUAAAAAGAAUUUCUAAGAAUACUUUUAGAAUUAAGUUAUAUAAAAUUUUGAAAAAAA
rnacentral:lncRNA from 1 species